GAUGAACGCUGGCGGCGUGUCUAAUACAUGCAAGUCGAGCGAACGGACGAGAAGCUUGCUUCUCUGAUGUUAGCGGCGGACGGGUGGGUAACACGUGGAUAACCUACCUAUAAGACUGGGAUAACUUCGGGAAACCGGAGCUAAUACCGGAUAAUAUUUUGAACCGCAUGGUUCAAAAGUGAAAGACGGUCUUGCUGUCACUUAUAGAUGGAUCCGCGCUGCAUUAGCUAGUUGGUAAGGUAACGGCUUACCAAGGCAACGAUGCAUAGCCGACCUGAGAGGGUGAUCGGCCACACUGGAACUGAGACACGGUCCAGACUCCUACGGGAGGCAGCAGUAGGGAAUCUUCCGCAAUGGGCGAAAGCCUGACGGAGCAACGCCGCGUGAGUGAUGAAGGUCUUCGGAUCGUAAAACUCUGUUAUUAGGGAAGAACAUAUGUGUAAGUAACUGUGCACAUCUUGACGGUACCUAAUCAGAAAGCCACGGCUAACUACGUG
rnacentral:rRNA from 1 species